UAAGGAAUAUUGGACAAUGGGCGGGAGCCUGAUCCAGCCAUCCCGCGUGCAGGAAGAAGGCGCUCUGCGUCGUAAACUGCUUUUACAGGGGAAGAAACCCCCGCACGGGUGCGGGGCUGACGGUACCCUGCGAACAAGCACCGGCUAACUCCGUGCCAGCAGCCGCGGUAAUACGGAGGGUGCGAGCGUUAUCCGGAAUCACUGGGUUUAAAGGGUGCGCAGGCGGUGCGCUAAGUCAGGGGUGAAAGGCCGCCGCUCAACGGCGGGACUGCCCUUGAUACUGGCGUGCUAGGAUUGGCGCGAGGCAGGCGGAACGCGGCAUGUAGCGGUGAAAUGCAUAGAUAUGCCGCAGAACACCGAUUGCGAAGGCAGCCUGCCAGAGCCACAUCGACGCUGAGGCACGAAAGCGUGGGGAGCGAACAGGAUUAGAUACCCGCGUAGUCC
rnacentral:rRNA from 1 species